CGCUGGCGGUGUGCUUCACACAUGCAAGUCGAACGAGGUAGCAAUACCUAGUGGCGGACGGGUGAGUAACGCGUGGGAAUCUGCCUUUAGAUGGGGGAUAACGGGUCGAAAGACUCGCUAAUACCGCAUAUGACGAAAGUUGAAAGGAGUAAUCCGUCUAAAGAUGAGCCCGCGUCCGAUUAGCUAGUUGGUAGAGUAAAAGCCUACCAAGGCGACGAUCGGUAGCUGGUCUGAGAGGAUGAUCAGCCACAAUGGGACUGAGACACGGCCCAUACUCCUACGGGAGGCAGCAGUGGGGAAUUUUACGCAAUGGGCGAAAGCCUGACGUAGCGACACCGCGUGAGCGAAGAAGCCCCUUGGGGUGUAAAGCUCUGUCAGCUGGAACGAAAAAAUGACGGUACCAGCAGAGGAAGCAUCGGCUUACUACGUG
rnacentral:rRNA from 1 species